GAUGAACGCUGGCGGCGUGCCUAAUACAUGCAAGUCGAGCGAAUGGAUUAAGAGCUUGCUCUUAUGAAGUUAGCGGCGGACGGGUGAGUAACACGUGGGUAACCUGCCCAUAAGACUGGGAUAACUCCGGGAAACCGGGGCUAAUACCGGAUAACAUUUUGAACCGCAUGGUUCGAAAUUGAAAGGCGGCUUCGGCUGUCACUUAUGGAUGGACCCGCGUCGCAUUAGCUAGUUGGUGAGGUAACGGCUCACCAAGGCAACGAUGCGUAGCCGGGCUGAGAGGGUGAUCGGCCACAGUGGGACUGAGACACGGCCCAGACUCCUACGGGAGGUAGCAGUAGGGAAUCUUCCGCAAUGGACGAAAGUCUGACGGAGCAACGCCGCGUGGGUGAUGAAGGCUUUCGGGUCGUAAAACUCUGUUGUUAGGGAAGAACAAGUGCUAGUUGAAUAAGCAGGCACCUUGACGGUACCUAACCAGAAAGCCACGGCUAACUACGUGCCAGCCGCCGCCGUAA
rnacentral:rRNA from 1 species